AUUACUCUCUCCAUCCCUCCCUAAAAUGAAUUUGAUGACAACACAACAUUAGGGCACCGGUCUGGUCUGGUCUCCACCGGAGUUCAAGACUUGAAGCCCCAACAUUCGUCAUCAGGUUCAGAACACGGCGGCUCGUGGAAGAGGACGAAGAAUGGGAAUACAAGGCCUUUUGCCUCUUUUGAAGUCGAUAAUGGUGCCUAUCCACAUCAGGGACUUAGACGGCUGUUUUGUUGCCGUUGAUACGUACUCUUGGCUCCAUAAAGGUGCCUUGUCUUGCAGUACUCAGCUAUGCAAAGGAUUACCCACUUCCAGGCACAUUGAAUAUUGCAUGCACAGAGUAAAUUUAUUGCGGCAUUAUGGUGUUAAACCUAUUCUUGUCUUUGAUGGUGGUCUUCUGCCAAUGAAGAUUGAACAAGAGAACAAGCGUGCAAGAGCAAGGAGGGAGAAUCUUGCACGUGCUAUUGAGCAUGAAUCAAAUGGAAAUUCUGCUGCAGCUUAUGAAUGCUACCAGAAGGCUGUUGAUAUUUCACCUUCAAUUGCUCAUGAACUAAUCCAGAUCUUAAAGCAGGAGAAUGUUUCUUAUGUUGUGGCUCCUUAUGAGGCUGAUGCCCAAAUGACCUUCUUGGCAGUAAGCAAACAAGUUGAUGCGGUCAUCACUGAGGACUCUGAUCUUAUACCAUUUGGUUGUCCCAGAAUUAUCUUCAAGAUGGACAAGUAUGGACAAGGUGUAGAGUUCCACUAUUCAAGACUUAAGCUGAACAAGGAGCUAAGUUUUGCAGGAUUCACCCAUGAAAUGCUUCUUCAAAUGUGCAUUCUGAGUGGUUGUGAUUAUUUACAGUCAUUGCCAGGAAUGGGACUUAAAAGGGCUCAUGCACUAAUUAAAAAAUUCAAAAGUUAUGAAAAGGUAAUCAAGCACCUGAGAUAUAGCACAGCUUCUGUUCCUCCUCUUUAUGAAGAGUCUUUCCAGAAGGCAAUAUGGACCUUCAUGCAUCAAAGGGUUUAUGACCCUACAACCGAAGAUAUUGUACAUUUAUCUGUCAUAUCUGAUAAUCUUGGUGAUGAUUUUGACUUCUUAGGCCCAACGAUACCACAACACAUAGCUAAAGGAAUAGCGAAAGGUGAUCUGGAUCCAUUUACCCAAAUGCCAUUCAAGGGAGAAAAUGCUAGUUCUGGAGUGGUGCUUAACAGAAUGUCUGAAUGCAAAAAUUUUAAACCUGAAAGUGGAAGGAAAAAGCUAGAUUUACCUGUGCAGAAGAAUGUUCUAACCAAGUACUUCUGCGUUGCAUCUCUUGAAGCAAAGAGAGAAUUCAGGGCUCCUCGAACAUCACCUAUAAAUUCAAGUCCAGUAGAUAAUUCUCACAGUCCCAAGGAAUAUUGCAGAUUAAAGAGUGCAUCUAGUAGUAUGCACUGCUCUUCAGAAUCCCCACUUGACUCUGAAAAUGGGGGAAGCACCCCACCUGAUGACACAGUGAGUAAUAAUGCCAUAACUUAUGAUAACUUUCAGUUAUUGCUUGGUUGAAGUCUUCUUGCCUUGUACAAUUUGUAAAAUUCCUCUUGUUUGCUGCUGAAGUUCUUUUAUUUUCAUUCUCUCCAACUUUGGGUAAGCAUAUAGCAUCUUCAAACAGGUCUGCAAAUUCAAUUAUAAGUUAUGUUAGUUAGACUACUCACCUAAUUGUAUAUUUAUGACACCAAAGGCAUGACCAAUGAGAAAGGAAGUUUGGAAGACACCUUGCUCCAACAAUUCAGACAUUUAAUGCAUAAAACUUGUCAAACAUUACUAAAGGAGUGUGAUUGUUAGAAUGUUCAAAUGCCAAAUGCAGUUGAAGACAAAAGAAACAGAUAACAGAAAGGUCCUAGUAUGGAGUUCUUAUUUUAAGCACAAAUCAACAAACAAAGAGUCCUGGAGAUGAUAAACAAGAAAAGCUCUUAGUCGAGAAUGAUUUUGCCAGUGAUCCAUGUGAUAAUGUCAUCCUUAAAAGUUUUUACAGGACAAAAACAGCAAACAACAAGGUUGUUGUAAGGAGCUCUUAUUUUCAGUACAAGUCGGUGAACAAGAAUGAUCAAGUGAAUGAACGGGGAAGGCUCUCAUCAUUAUUUAAAAUGAUUCUUCAGAGAAUAAUAGCAUCACCAUGUAAAGAAAGACCUGCCCAAUUGAAACUGUUCAAAGACUUCCGUUGAAUAUGAAACUCAAGCACGUGUGAACAUUCAUCUCUUUCUGAGAAUGGUAUGUCUUGUUGGACUCUCUUGGCAAGUAAUGUACCUCUAUGCAUUCAGUUCAAGGGUGUCGGUGCCACUAAAUAUUCGUCCACUUAGCCCAAAAGAGUAAAACAUCUGAUAUGCAUUUCUUUCCCUUAGGUUACUGUCCUCCUAAUCUUGAGGAAAAAUAUACGGGACAAAGAAAGAAGGAAAGUUUGGAUCUAACAUUUCACACAUAGAUCAUUAUUCUGACAUAGCGGAGAAAUCAAUGGAGAGAUUUGUUUCAGUCUUAUCAUCAUUAGGAUUCUCCGCAUCUGGUUCUCGUGCUAGUGGUCUUCGUGCCCCUCUAAAAGAUAUUCGAGACACUUGUACCAAUAGGUGCCAACUGCUUGUAACAUAUGCUCAUCUACAUCCAUAACUUGGUCUCUAUUGACUUUAGGUUAAGUGGUAGUGUGGACUUUAGCCAUUUUGCUUAUACACACCAACCAACAAGAGGAGUCAGAAGACUGGACUAGCACUGCACAGAUGCUGAAUUUGUAAGAACAUGGAAUGGAGAAUGUAUAUUGGCUGAGAGUCCUAACUCAUUUCAAUAGCAGGAACUUUGGAUUCUAUUUUUCUCUUAGAGAAUGUAAGUGCAACCGUUCAGUUAUUAUUUCUUUUUUCUAUAAUAACUUUACUUUUACUUUUACUUUGUCCUUCCCACCAUAACAUGUGAUUUGUUACAAUGAUCCAAGUUAGUUGUUGACAAGAUACAGUUUACUUAAUGAAAAACAAUUUACCAUACAAAUGGCCUUUUUUUGUAUUAUACGAGUGUUGCUGUAAUUAUUUCUAAUAUUGACAUUUCAUCU
rnacentral:misc_RNA from 1 species